GUGUAAAGAAUUAAUGAUUUAUAUAAAUGAAUUAGGAGUGGGAUAAAGUAUUUGUUGAAUUCUUUUGUAUUUAAAUUACUAAUUUGAUCUGAUUUGAAAUUGUUGAUUUGCUUUGAUUUAAAACCAUCAGUUCAUUGUUUUUAAAAAAUAUAAACUUAAAUCAAAUUACAGAAGGAGGUUUCUGUCCGAUUUAAAGUUAAUUUUCAGUUGUGAUUGAUUUUAAUCUAGUUUUGAUCGAUCAAUUUUGGUUCUAUUUCGAUAUGAAACUGUACUGUAGCCACCCUUAAAGAAAAAGCAAGGAGGUUGACGUACAUGGGAAAGAGAUUUUAAUUAUUUCGAAAGUUAGGAAAGAGUUUUUUGUUUUUUGUUUUUUUGUCUUUUUAAGGGCAUAGUAGUCUUUUUCAUUGUUUUAAGGGUAAAAUAAUAGAAAAUAAAUGGAAUAGCAAAAGACAGUGACGUUUUAAUAAAUUUGCUAAAAUAUGGAGAUUAAUUUGUAAAUAAUAAUAAGGGACUAAAUUGAAAAUCUCCCUUAUUUAAUUGGCGCUUUUUUUAGCUUCCUAAAGUCAGUCAGUCUUGCUUUCUGCUGACGUAGCAUGUUAGUGUUGUCGCCGUCAGACACGUGUCACUGCACAACAUCAUCAUAAAUGAUUUCGUUGACCCUUUAAGGUUGAAAUGAUCAAACAAGAGUGUAUAGGUAAUUUUUUUCAAUUAAGUACACUUUUUCCUCUUGAUUAUUUGGAGAGAAAAUAAUAAGUAUAAAAUAAAUAUUAUUUUUCUUCCUCAUUAUUUUUCUUUUAUUUUCAAACAAAAAAAAAGUGACAAUCUUAUUUUAUUUUUCAUCAUUUAUUUUCUUUUCCCUCUACUUUUCAUGUAUCCAAACAAAGGCUAACGUCUAGUUUCUCUGCCAUGAAUUGAUAUUGUUUUUUAAAAUUUUUUUAUGAGAAAAUAGAAUUGUAAGAUACUACAUUGUAAUUAUAUUAAAUUAGAAAAAAUUACUAUUUAGUCCAUAAAUUUUAAUGAAACUAAUUAUUUGAUUUUUUUAUAUUUUAAAAAAUAUACUAUCUAAUCUCUAUAUUUUACUAUCGUUAAAUUAUUUAAUAUUUCUG
rnacentral:misc_RNA from 1 species